UACAGCCUAAUUAUACUCUCAGUGUCAGUUCUGCUCAAUUUUCUGAGCUUUACCUACUCGCUUUGCGUGAUGAUGUCAAAAUCAAAAAUCAAAAUUCUGCAUCUAAAACCACUCAACUAAAAGCAGCCCAAAAUCCUUCCAGGCAACUUCACUUUAUCGCACAAAUACACAAGGAAAAAGGAAAAGCUCACUAAUACAAGAAAAAUUAAAAUCAAAUUUCACCUAAAUCAAUGCUUCAUCAUAAUAUUCACGUACUCCUCUUCCUUUACCAAAAAUUGCACCAAAGUUUACAGUUUUACACAAUUGGACAUCAUACGAUCAACAUCAUCACCGUCACAAAUAUCAAAGAUAACCUCAUCGAAUCAAUCGAAGAAGUCAUACAUACUUUUUACUUUAAAUAAAAAAAGAAAAAAUUGGCCGAAAUUUGGAUUCGGAGUUGAGGAAAAGAAAAGAAUGAGUGAAUCGUUAGGUCAAGGAUUUUUCAUGGAAAACGUGAAUAUUUUGAGGAAAAGAAAAGAAUGAGUGAAUCAUUAGGUCAAGGAUUUUUCAUGGAAAACGUGAAUAUUCCGACG
rnacentral:lncRNA from 1 species